rnacentral:rRNA from 1 species
AUGCCCAAACCAAGCACUCAACCCUCAGGUAUCACUUUGCAAAUUGGUCAAACCUCACCAAAGGAAUCUUCAGCAAUGCAAGAUUCUGAUAAAAAAUUACUAGACAAAUGUGUGAAAAUGAUUCUAGGUAUGACAACGAAUCCACCACCUGCAAAUGAUAACAACCAAUCACUAAGUCAUGCUAUCAAUGAAGUGCUCACUGAAACCUUAGAACAAACUCUUGCACUAGCAGAAAUUGAGACUCAGUGCACUACAGGAGACAUAGAAUCAUCAUCUUGUCAGUCUACACAACAAGAGGUUGCAAACGUUGCCCAAAAUGAUCUAACUGGACAAAAAGAAGAGGAAUCCCAAGACCAUCCUUCCAACAAUUCAGUUGCAGAAGUAAGUUCUGAGCGCACCGAAGAUGAUGAUAUAUCUAAAGUGGGCAAGAAAGAUUCAAACUCUCAUACUUCUCAUUUAACCCCUAGACACAACUUCAGAGAUAUAGAGAUAGUUCACAUAGCCGAGGAACCUUCAUCUCCUAAAACAAUUGAUUGUAAGCACAUCUCUAAGCUUGCUGAGCCUUUACCAGAUGGAGAAUGUUUUGAUUAUGCUGGUAGCAUAAAUCCUUCUAUGAAGAUGAGAAAACAGCGUUAUCAGAAGAAAGAUGAGAUCACUGAAGGGAUAUCUGAGAUCGUUAAGAAGAAGCAAUAUCCAAUGAAGAAGUUGAACAACCUGUACAAUACUCUUGUGGCUAGUAGCAAGUUCCGAGGUUUACGUAGGACACGACGACACGAGGACAAUGACACCGGUGGUACCAAGAUAAGGAUAGGUCCAGCUUCUGCAACAGAAAGAGAGUUAAUACAAUGCCUAAUGCCAAAAGGAAAGAUGUGCAAAAAUAUGAUGUGGUUACUGUCCGUGGCACUUAUGUAUGAUUGGGGAUCAAAGACCAAGGUUAUAUUGGACCAGACAAUUAUAACCGAAUUGCUAAAAAAACCAAAGAAAUGCAACCAUCUAUAUCUAUGCAAGAAGCUUAGUAAGUUGGCACUUCAAAAUGUUGAGCAGAUAUUUCUCCCUACACUAUAUGACUACCAUUGGAUUCUGGCGGUCAUUAACCUCAUGGAAAACACAAUUGAAAUUUAUGACUCUAACUUAGAAGUGAAAGAAGGUGAAGACCCGCACAAGGUUAUCUUGGAGAACAUGGCCAACAAUCGCCAAAAAGCAUUGAAUGAUUAUCUCCAAAAGAGUGCUUUCGCAUUUAUGGAUUUCCCAAGGAAGUGUUCUUAUGCUGGAAAACAAACAAACAAUGAUGACUGUGGUUUCUGGGUUAUAAAAGUACUUCUGUGUCACAAUGGCAAGGAGCUCAUUGGAAAUUACAAGUGGGCAAUGGAUGUCUUCAGGAAGGAAAUUUGCUAUAUCCUAGUUUACCACCGCUUCAAUGAUCUCAACCCAAGGAGGCCUGAGAUUAAGAAGAUAUCAUCCUCCAUGAAGACAACAACAGACUGA